rnacentral:rRNA from 1 species
UACGAGAGCCUCAAGCGUUAUCCGGAUUUAUUGGGCGUAAAGAGCUCGUAGGCGGUUCGAUAAGUCGGACGUGAAAUCUCCACGCUCAACGUGGAGGGGCCGUUCGAUACUGUCGUGACUCGAGUCCGGUAGGGGAGUGUGGAAUUCCCGGUGUAGCGGUGAAAUGCGCAGAGAUCGGGAGGAACACCCGUAGCGAAGGCGGCACUCUGGGCCGGUACUGACGCUGAGGAGCGAAAGCGUGGGGAGCAAACAGG